rnacentral:rRNA from 1 species
AUGGCUACUAAGGAGUUAUCGAUGAAGCUCCUGAUUGAUACCAAGGCUCAGAAAGUCUGCUUUGCCGAGGCUGACAAUGAAGUGGUCGAGUUGCUGUCCAGCCUCCUAUGCCUCCCGAUGAGCACCGUCAUCAACCUGCUCACCAAAGAGCGUAUGGUUGGCAUCAUUGGGAAUGUUCUUGAUAGCCUGGAGACGCUUGAUGCCACGUAUGUAUUCUCAACCAAGGGCAAGGAGCCCUACAUCAAGCCAACAAUUUCCCCCGGUAUGCUCUCUCCCUUGCAACAGCUGAUGGGGGAUGCACAGUUAAAUGCCUGUAGCAGAUUCUUCACCUGUGAGGGGAAAAGAUGCUGCUACACAAGCCAUAGUUGUGGGUAUUUUUCAGUUGCUAAAGGCAGCAAAUGCCCAAGUUGCUCCACCGGAAUGAACAAAGCUAUACUGCAUGUCAAAAGUGAGGGGUUUGUGGUCGGGACAGCCACGUAUACAGUCAAGGACGAUCUCUCGAUGAUACCGGCGUCCAGCGUGGCAAGCAUUGCCUUGCUCGCCCAGUGCGGUGUCAAGGACCUGAGCAUGCUGCAAGAAAAAAUGGUGAAGAUUGGCAAGGAAGAGGCGCUGGACAUACUCCUUGCUUCGCUGAAGUCCAAGACCGUCCUGACUGAUGUCUUCCUUCAGACAAGAAAAGCUCGUUGCAAGAAGGAAACUGUUGCUUAG